CCAAGCAGAGAUUGUCAGGCUGGUGUGGCUGUCCCUGGUAGUAGUGUACGUCAGGACCUAAGGAUAGCCUGAAGGAGACACUAGGGUUUCUAGGUCAUCAAGGUUGGAGGAGGGCAAAGCUCCUUAAGAACUCAGGUCUGAGGUCUGAAAGAUGGCUCAGUGGGUAAAGGCACCUGCCAUGCAAACCUGACAGUCGAGUUCCAUCUGUGGAACCCAUGUGAAAGAGAAGAACCAAAUUCAAACUUGUCCCUUUACCUCCAAAACAUGUCAUGGCACCCAUGCAUACUGCCCCCACCCCCACAGCAGAAUUUAAAACAAGACAAAUAAGAACCCUCUGGAGGGGCUGGAGAGAUGGCUCAGCAGUUAAGAGCACUGACUGUUCUUCCAGAGGACCGGGGUUCAAUUCCCAGCACCCACAUGGCAGCUCACAACUGUCUGUAACUCUAAGAUCUGACACUUCACACAGACAUAUAUGUAGGCAAAACACCAAUACACAUAAAAUAAUAAAAAUGAAUAAAUUAAAAAAAGAA